rnacentral:rRNA from 1 species
GAUGAGCUCGCGUCCCAUUAGCUAGUUGGUGAGGUAAGGGCCCACCAAGGCGAUGAUGGGUAGCCGGCCUGAGAGGGUGUACGGCCACACUGGGACUGAGAUACGGCCCAGACUCCUACGGGAGGCAGCAGCUAAGAAUAUUCCGCAAUGGACGAAAGUCUGACGGAGCGACGCCGCGUGGAUGAAGAAGGCCGAAAGGUUGUAAAGUUCUUUUGCGAGGGAAGAAUAACCGCAGGAGGGAAUGCCUGUGGGAUGACAUGAACUUGCGAAUAAGCCCCGGCCAACUACGUGCCAGCAGCCGCGGUAACACGUAGGGGGCGAGCGUUGUUCGGAAUUACUGGGCGUAAAGGGCAUGUAGGUGGUCUGGUAAGCCUGGCGUGAAAGACCACAGCUUAACUGUGGGGUUGCGCUGGGAACUGCUGGGCUUGAGUGACGGAGAGGGAGCUGGAAUUCCUGGUGUAGGGGUAAAAUCUGUAGAUAUCAGGAAGAACACCGAUGGCGAAGGCAAGCUCCUGGCCGAUGACUGACGCUGAGGUGCGAAAGUGUGGGGAUCAAACAGGAUUAGAUACCCUGGUAGUCCACACGGUAAA